rnacentral:misc_RNA from 1 species
AAAAACCAUAAAAACAAUUUUGAUCAAACAAGUUCACUUCAUGGCCGAAUAGUAUUAAUUCAAAAUUAAUAAUUUUUCUUAAAUCUUUCUUGCUCCAACUUGCAUCAAAAGUAACUUUCUUGAGUUCCAAACAUCAUAUAACAUGAAUUAUAGUUUCCUAAUAUAAUAACCCAUGUUGUAAAAGGCGAGAAGAGGAGCCAGGCGAGGCGAGGCGAGCAUGCUG